AGAUCGAAGGAAAGAAAGAUGAAGAAACAAGAAGAUACUGAAGAAGAAGCUGCUUAUUAUAAGUUGUUUGAGUUGUUAGUAAAGAAGAUUCGGGGGAUUAUACAAAUACAGAAUCAUAAGAAGAAGAACAAGAAAAGAAAAAAGAAAAUGGUUGGAUUUGGAUGAUAGAUGGGUUUGAGCGGAUUCGGAAAUGGGGUUUUCAAUGUCUUAGUCGUGUUGAGGGAAACUCAACAAUCUGAGUCCAUGGCAUGAACAACCAAGUGCAGAAGGAGCAUGAUGUUCCAGAUUACUGUCAUGGAAGACCAAGGGGACAGCAGUGCCUGAUGACUAUCACGCAACGUUGGGAACUAGGAUAUAUGUCCGUGCUACAGCUUGAGGAGGCAGCUAAUUAACAAUCAACACAGGAGGAGCAUCCCAACAAUGAGAGGUGACAAUCUGACCAAGAUGCUAGAUGCCUAAUGCUGAUUUAGCAGGUGAAGAUCUUAUGCUAAUGUUACUUUUUUGUUAGUAUCUUAUCUGCUAGAUGUUCAUGUUUCUUUUGUGAUAAUCAAUUAGAUGUUCUGAAAUCUCUAUGUAGAGAUAGAUUCAUAUAUGUUUGAAAGGCUAUUGAAUAAGUGGACACACAAAUAGGUCCUUACAGUAGUCAGCAGUCACUAGUUACUGAAAACUAAUUCAGAAGUUUGUUGAUAGUACUUGAGUAUGGGUAUCUGAAUAAUGGUUCUCAAUAUAAAAAGAUGCAUUUACCAUGUCAUUUUCAAUUUAUGAAGAAUAUCGCCACAAGUUAUGUUCAAUUCAGUGGAGUUUUCAAUCGAGUCGCACAAUCAUUCUAAACAAUCAGGUCCGUAAUCGUAUCCACUGAAAUUGUUUGGAAUUGUGAAUAAAUCGAGUCGCCACAAGACUUCUGAAAUUUGGAUUCAGACCCAAAGGAGAUUCUAGGAAUGCAGUCCAAUCCCUACUUCAACAUGCAAAGGCAAGCAUGAAAUAGGGCAUACAUGCAGUCACACACCCGACAUGCUUCUUACAAUGGCGCUACACCACAACAUGCACAUGUGCACUUUCCUGGUUUGUACCAUCCGGGAGCACAACCUGCCCCGAUAGGAAAUCCCUAUCACAUGGUUUCUGGAAUGGAAGGAAUGUUGGUGUGCCUGAAUUGGGCAGGUAACUUCUUAAGAAUUCUUUUGGAAAAAAAAAGUUAACAUAUAAAAAAGAUGUAGCUACGGGUUUUUAUUGAUUCUUUGUGAAAUGAAAAACAACCCGGUAAUGUUUUUUCUUUUUAAUCAAAGCAGCAAUGAAAAAUCUGUUACUAACCCA